rnacentral:rRNA from 1 species
CUGAGGCGUGAUGACGAGGCACUACGGUGCUGAAGCAACAAAUGCCCUGCUUCCAGGAAAAGCCUCUAAGCAUCAGGUAACAUCAAAUCGUACCCCAAACCGACACAGGUGGUCAGGUAGAGAAUACCAAGGCGCUUGAGAGAACUCGGGUGAAGGAACUAGGCAAAAUGGUGCCGUAACUUCGGGAGAAGGCACGCUGACACGUAGGUGAAGUGAUUUACUCAUGGAGCUGAAGUCAGUCGAAGAUACCAGCUGGCUGCAACUGUUUA